rnacentral:tRNA from 1 species
AGCUAUAAAAGUUAACGACAAACAGCCAGUCUUGUAAACUGGAAAAGAGGGUUUAACUCCCUCUUAUAGCUU